CUGCUGAAUGGCAAUAAAUGUACUAUAAUUGGAACAAUAUAGAAAAGAUUAGCAUGGCAACUGUGCAAGGAUACCAUGCAUGUUUAUUGUCAUGAACUAUCACGAU
ensembl:snRNA U6 U6 spliceosomal RNA